GCCUUCAUGGUGUAGUGGUCAGCACGCUGGGCUCGUAUUCCAGAGGUCUGUGGUUUGAGUCCCGGCGAAGGCA
rfam:Stegodyphus mimosarum contig56704, whole genome shotgun sequence.